CUCCCAUUUCUGAACAUACCAUCCACCAAAGUAUUAACAGUGACUGCAUUUGGUACAAUCCCCUCUUUGUUCAUCUCAUCAAACAACUCCAGGCCCCUCUCUAUUUCACCAGCUUUACAAAAUCCAUCAAUCAAACAAUUAUAGGUAACAGUAUUAGGAGCACACUCCUUUUGCAAUUUCAUCCUUUCCAGCAAACCCAAACCUUCUU
rnacentral:misc_RNA from 1 species